rnacentral:ncRNA from 1 species
GAAUUAUUCUUAGUUGAGGGUUAAAAUGGCUCUCAUUAAACCUCUUUAAUUGUCUGGAAAACCUUAAUUACCGCGAAUUAAGACAACCAGCAGCGAAGCUUAUGGUAUUAACACCUAUAAAGGAUUAUAGGAUGCAUAAGAACGUUCAACGACUAUCGAAAGUACUUAUGAUAAUUCAUAGGGUAAAUGAGUAGAGUAGCGCCAAGUGGUAGGUAUCAUAAUGAUAAUAGUUAUGAAUAAAUCCUUUAAAGCGAAACGGGAGGCAAAGGAUUGAAGAUAUAGUCUGAUCUGCAUGGUGACAUGUAG